CCUAACGGCCCGGUCCUUGGUAGAACCCACCUGACUACACACUAAUCAAUCAGGUCCCUAACGGCCCGGUCCUUGGUAGAACCCAUACUGACUGACUACACACCAAUCAAUCAGGUCCUAACGGCCCGGUCCUUGGUAGAACCCAUACUGACUGACUACACACCAAUCAAUCAGGUCCUAACGGCCCGGUCCUUGGUAGAACCCAUACUGACUGACUACACACCAAUCAAUCAGGUCCUAACGGCCCGGUCCUUGGUAGAACCCACCUGACUACACACUAAUCAAUCAGGUCCUAACGGCCCGGUCCUUGGUAGAACCCAUACUGACUGCACACCAAUCAAUCAGGUCCUAACGGCCCGGUCCUUGGUAGAACCUAUACUGACUACACACCAAUCAAUCAGGUCCUAACGGCCCGGUCCUUGGUAGAACCCACCUGACUACACACUAAUCAAUCAGGUCCCUAACGGCCCGGUCCUUGGUAGAACCCAUACUGACUGACUACACACCAAUCAAUCAGGUCCUAACGGCCCGGUCCUUGGUAGAACCCACCUGACUACACACUAAUCAAUCAGGUCCUAACGGCCCGGUCCUUGGUAGAACCCAUACUGACUACACACCAAUCAAUCAGGUCCUAACGGCCCGGUCCUUGGUAGAACCCAUACUGACUACACACCAAUCAAUCAGGUCCUAACGGCCCGGUCCUUGGUAGAACCCACCUGACUACACACUAAUCAAUCAGGUCCCUAACGGCCCGGUCCUUGGUAGAACCCAUACUGACUGACUACACAUCAAUCAAUCAGGUCCUAACGGCCCGGUCCUUGGUAGAACCCAUACUGACUACACACCAAUCAAUCAGGUCCUAACGGCCCGGUCCUUGGUAGAACCCAUACUGACUGACUACACACCAAUCAAUCAGGUCCUAACGGCCCGGUCCUUGGUAGAACCCAUACUGACUGACUACACAUCAAUCAAUCAGGUCCCUAACGGCCCGGUCCUUGGUAGAACCCAUACUGACUGACUACACAUCAAUCAAUCAGGUCCCUAACGGCCCGGUCCUUGGUAGAACCCAUACUGACUACACACCAAUCAAUCAGGUCCCUAACGGCCCGGUCCUUGGUAGAACCCAUACUGACUACACACCAAUCAAUCAGGUCCUAACGGCCCGGUCCUUGGUAGAACCCAUACUGACUACACAUCAAUCAAUCAGGUCCCUAACGGACCGGUCCUUGGUAGAACCCAUACUGACUACACACCAAUCAAUCAGGUCCUAACGGCCCGGUCCUUGGUAGAACCCAUACUGACUACACACUAAUCAAUCAGGUCCUAACGGCCCGGUCCUUGGUAGAACCCAUACUGACUACACACUAAUCAAUCAGGUCCCUAACGGCCCGGUCCUUGGUAGAACCCAUACUGACUACACACCAAUCAAUCAGGUCCCUAACGGCCCGGUCCUUGCUAGAACCCAUACUUCCUACCCUUUAAUUGUAUAAAAUGUCUAUGGAUAUAUAUGCUAUGCUUAUCUGUUACUUGGCAAAACAAGGUCAUCAAAUCUCAUUUAUUUAUAUAGCCCUUCUUACAUCAGCUGAUAUCUCAAAUGUGCUGACAUGUCAUCUAAGAAUAUAUGGUUUUGUUUACAUUCUCAUAUCCAUAAUCAAUAUGUAAAGGACAGACAAGGAAGUGAAGUGUUUACACUGGAAAUUGGUCAUGUGACAAUAAACAACAUGUGAAAACAU